rnacentral:rRNA from 1 species
CUUAGAACCGUGGUUAAGGAACUCGGCAAAUUGACACCGUAACUUCGGGAUAAGGUGUGCCACUGAGGGUGAAGAGCCUUGCGCUCGUAAGCCUUCGGGGGUUGCAACAAAGAGGCGGUAGCGACUGUUUACCAAAAACACAGGCCUGUGCGAAGCCGUAAGGCGACGUAUACGGGUUGACGCCUGCCCGGUGCCGGAAGGUUAAGGGGAGUGGUCAGCGAAAGCGAAGCUGCGAACCGAAGCCCCGGUAAACGGCGGCCGUAACUAUAACGGUCCUAAGGUAGCGAAAUUCCUUGUCGGGUAAGUUCCGACCUGCACGAAUGGCGUAACGACUUCCGCGCUGUCUCGAUCACGGUCUCAGCGAAAUUGACAUUGGGGUGAAGAUGCCCCAUACCCGCAGCAAGACGGAAAGACCCUGUGAACCUUUACUCUAACUUGGCAGCGACAUUCGGUUCAGCUUGUGUAGGAUAGGUGGGAGACGAUGAAGCGGGGGCGCCAGCCUUCGUGGAGUCAACGUUGAAAUACCACCCUGGUUGUGCUGGAUGUCUAACCCGGCCCUUGUGGCGGGGACACUGCCUGGCGGGGAGUUUGACUGGGGCGGUCGCCUCCCAAACAGUAACGGAGGCGCGCAAAGAUUCCCUCAGCGUGAUCGGAAACCACGCGCAGAGUGCAAAGGCAGAAGGGAGUUUGACUGCAAGAUCGACAGAUCGAGCAGGUGCGAAAGCAGGCCUUAGUGAUCCGGCGGUCCCACAUGGGAGGGCCGUCGCUCAUCGGAUAAAAGGUACUCCGGGGAUAACAGGCUUAUCACGCCCAAGAGUUCACAUCGACGGCGUGGUUUGGCACCUCGAUGUCGGCUCAUCGCAUCCUGGGGCUGGAGCAGGUCCCAAGGGUUUGGCUGUUCGCCAAUUAAAGCGGUACGCGAGCUGGGUUCAAAACGUCGUGAGACAGUUUGGUCCCUAUCUGCUGUGGGCGCAGGAGAGUUGAGAGACGCUGUCCUUAGUACGAGAGGACCGGGAUGGACGUUCCUCUGGUGUUCCGGUUGUCGCGCCAGCGGCAUAGCCGGAUAACCAUGAACGGAAGGGAUAACCGCUGAAAGCAUCUAAGUGGGAAGCCCAUCUCCAGAUAAACUCUCCCUUGAGGGCCCAGAAAGACCAUCUGGUUGAUAGGCGGGGCGUAUAAACGCAGCAAUGCGUGCGCGGACCCGUACUAAUCGCCCGAACGACUUGACCCC